rnacentral:lncRNA from 1 species
AUCUCUACGAGAAAACAUGUUAAAGGGCAUCAAUUCGCCGAAAAAAGUUAAAAAAUAAAAACUUACUAACAAUAAAAUUUUUCGGUGCGGUGGCUCCGCCGACUCAUCUACGCGGCUGAACGUUUUUUUUUUUGGUCAACUUGUAGAAAACAGAAUGGUGAACACAAUGAUGGAAAAAUUGCACGAAACAGGAAACGAAAAGGGGUUCAUCGGAGGUGAUUUUUUAUUUUUUCCGCAGUAGCGCUGU